GUCAUGUUCCAAUGCAUUAUGUGAGUAUUCAGUCAAAGAAGUGAGGCCGUUCUGCAGAAUUGGUUCUCUGCUACAGGUCAAAAC
rnacentral:lncRNA from 1 species